rnacentral:rRNA from 1 species
CUACGGGAGGCUCCAGUCGAGAAUAGUCUACAAUGGGGGAAACCCUGAUAGUGCGACGCCGCGUGGACGAAGAAGCAUUUCGGUGUGUAAAGUCCUUUUCUGUGAGAGCAAUGCGUUAGAGGUUAAGAGCUUUUAGCGAGAGAUAUUAUUACAGGAAUAAGCUCCGGCUAACUCCGUGGCCAGCAGCCGCGGUAACACGGGGGGAGCGAGCGUUGUCCGAAAUUACUAGGCGUAAAGGGUAAGUAGGUGGAAUUGUAAGUCAGAUGUUAAAGGCUUCGGCUCAACCGGAGUACGGCAUUUGAUACUGUGAUUCUAGAGUAAGGUGGGGGAAGACGGAAUUCCUGGUGUAGCGGUGGAAUGCGCAGAUAUCAGGAGGAACACCAGAGGCGAAGGCGGUCUUCUAUACCAUUACUGACGCUCAAUUACGAAGGUGUGGGUAUCAAACAGGAUUAGAUACCCUCGUAGUC